GACGAACGCUGGCGGCGUGCCUAAUACAUGCAAGUCGAACGAGAGCGACCGGUGCUUGCCCUGGUCAAUCUAUUGGCGCACGGGUGAGUAACACGUGGGUAACCUGCCCAUCAGAGGGGGAUAACAUCCGGAAACUGAUGCUAAAACCGCAUAGGUCUUCGAACCGCAUGGUUUGAAUAGGAAAAGAGGCGCAAGCUUCUGCUGAUGGAUGGACCCGCGGUGCAUUAGCUAGUUGGUUAGGUAACGGCUCACCAAGGCCGUGAUGCAUAGCCGACCUGAGAGGGUGAUCGGCAACAUUGGGACUGAGACACGGCCCAAACUCCAACGGGAGGCAGCAGUAGGGAAUCUUCCGCAAUGGACGAAAGUCUGACGGAGCAACGCCGCGUGAGUGAAGAAGGUUUUCGGAUCGUAAAACUCUGUUGUUAGAGAAGAACAAGUGCUAGAGUAACUGUUAGCGCCUUGACGGUAGCUAACCAGAAAGCCACGGCUAACUACGUG
rnacentral:rRNA from 1 species